AGAGUGGGGGUUUAGAGUAACAAACAAAGGUAUAACUUGCGAACAGAAGGAGAAGAUCAGAGAGGUCAACCGUAAAAGAAACAGCCAAAAUUUUACAUUACAACGGUUACUCCUUUUUAUCUCUUUUCCUUUUGCCGUUUCUCCUCCACGGCGUUACUUUUUCUAGUUUUCUAUUUAAUUUCUUUUAUAUUUCUAAAAAAUAAAAGGACAAAAAGAAAAGUUCGUUUUUGAAACU
rnacentral:lncRNA from 1 species